UACGUAGGGGGCAAGCGUUGUCCGGAAUUAUUGGGCGUAAAGCGCGCGCAGGCGGCCUAUUAAGUCUGAUGUGAAAGCCCACGGCUCAACCGUGGAGGGCCAUUGGAAACUGGUAGGCUUGAGUGCAGGAGAGGAGAGCGGAAUUCCCGGUGUAGCGGUGAAAUGCGUAGAUAUCGGGAGGAACAUCCGUGGCGAAGGCGGCCAUCUGGACCAGCACUGACACUGAGGCACGAAAGCGUGGGGAGCAAACAGG
rnacentral:rRNA from 1 species